UCUGCUGAGAUGGUUUCUCUUUAC
rnacentral:piRNA from 1 species